rnacentral:tRNA from 1 species
GGGGUAAUAGCUCAGUGGGAGAGCACAUGCUUAGCAUGCAGGAGGUCUUGGUUCAAUCCCCAGUACUUCCA